rnacentral:rRNA from 1 species
GACGAACGCUGGCGGCGUGCUUAACACAUGCAAGUCGAACGGAAAGGCCUCUUUCGGGGGGUACUCGAGUGGCGAACGGGUGAGUAACACGUGAGUAACCUGCCCUUGACUUUGGGAUAACUUCAGGAAACUGGGGCUAAUACCGGAUAGGAGCUCCUGCUGCAUGGUGGGGGUUGGAAAGUUUCGGCGGUUGGGGCUGGACUCGCGGCUUAUCAGCUUGUUGGUGGGGUAGUGGCUUACCAAGGCUUUGACGGGUAGCCGGCCUGAGAGGGUGACCGGCCACAUUGGGACUGAGAUACGGCCCAGACUCCUACGGGAGGCAGCAGUGGGGAAUAUUGCACAAGGGGUGGAAGCCUGAUGCAGCAACGCCGUGUGCGGGAUGACGGCCUUCGGGUUGUAAACCGCUUUCGCUCAUGACGAAGCUUUGUGUGACGGUAGUGGGUAAAGAAGCACCGGCUAACUACGUG